ACACAUGCAGUCGAACGAUGAAGCUGGAGCUUGCUCUGGUGGAUUAGUGGCGAACGGGUGAGUAACACGUGAGUAACCUGCCCUUGACUCUGGGAUAAGCGUUGGAAACGACGUCUAAUACNGGAUACGAGCUUCAGCCGCAUGGCUAGGAGUUGGAAAGAAUUUCGGUCAAGGAUGGACUCGCGGCCUAUCAGCUAGUUGGUGAGGUAAUGGCUCACCAAGGCGACGACGGGUAGCCGGCCUGAGAGGGUGACCGGCCACACUGGGACUGAGACACGGCCCAGACUCCUACGGGAGGCAGCAGUGGGGAAUAUUGCACAAUGGGCGCAAGCCUGAUGCAGCAACGCCGCGUGAGGGACGACGGCCUUCGGGUUGUAAACCUCUUUUAGCAGGGAAGAAGCGAAAGUGACGGUACCUGCAGAAAAAGCACCGGCUAACUACGUGCCAGCAGCCGCGGUAAUACGUAGGGUGCAAGCGUUGUCCGGAAUUAUUGGGCGUAAAGAGCUCGUAGGCGGUUUGUCGCGUCUGCUGUGAAAACGCGAGGCUCAACCUCGCGCCUGCAGUGGGUACGGGCAGACUAGAGUGCGGUAGGGGAGAUUGGAAUUCCUGGUGUAGCGGUGGAAUGCGCAGAUAUCAGGAGGAACACCGAUGGCGAAGGCAGAUCUCUGGGCCGUAACUGACGCUGAGGAGCGAAAGCGU
rnacentral:rRNA from 1 species